CGCGUGCUGCGGCGCGCGUGUAGCCGAUUAUGUCCCGGGGGCUAUACUCACCUCUAGGGAGCUGUCCCUGCCGGGGUCUUGGCCUCGGUACAACGGCGCCCACCUGCUCGAGCAGGCUCCAGAGGAUAUGUUCCGGCCACGGCGAUCGCGGUUCGCGC
rnacentral:other from 1 species